rnacentral:rRNA from 1 species
AACACAUGCAAGUCGAGCGGUAACAGGAAGAAGCUUGCUUCUUUGCUGACGAGCGGCGGACGGGUGAGUAAUGCCUGGGAAUAUGCCUUGAUGUGGGGGAUAACUAUUGGAAACGAUAGCUAAUACCGCAUAACGUCUUCGGACCAAAGAGGGGGACCUUCGGGCCUCUCGCGUCAAGAUUAGCCCAGGUGGGAUUAGCUAGUUGGUGGGGUAAAGGCUCACCAAGGCAACGAUCCCUAGCUGGUCUGAGAGGAUGAUCAGCCACAUUGGAACUGAGACACGGUCCAGACUCCUACGGGAGGCAGCAGUGGGGAAUAUUGCACAAUGGGGGAAACCCUGAUGCAGCCAUGCCGCGUGUAUGAAGAAGGCCUUCGGGUUGUAAAGUACUUUACAGUCGUGAGGAAGGGUGGAUAGUUAAUAGCUGUCCAUCUUGACGUUAGCGACAGAAGAAGCACCGCUAACU